AGCGAACGCUGGCGGCAGGCUUAACACAUGCAAGUCGAGCGGGCGUAGCAAUACGUCAGCGGCAGACGGGUGAGUAACGCGUGGGAACGUACCUUUUGGUUCGGAACAACACAGGGAAACUUGUGCUAAUACCGGAUAAGCCCUUACGGGGAAAGAUUUAUCGCCGAAAGAUCGGCCCGCGUCUGAUUAGCUAGUUGGUGUGGUAACGGCGCACCAAGGCGACGAUCAGUAGCUGGCUGAGAGGAUGAUCAGCCA
rnacentral:rRNA from 1 species